rnacentral:rRNA from 1 species
UAGGGAAUCUUCCGCAAUGGGCGAAAGCCUGACGGAGCAACGCCGCGUGAGUGAUGAAGGUCUUCGGAUCGUAAAACUCUGUUAUUAGGGAAGAACAAAUGUGUAAGUAACUAUGCACGUCUUGACGGUACCUAAUCAGAAAGCCACGGCUAACUACGUGCCAGCAGCCGCGGUAAUACGUAGGUGGCAAGCGUUAUCCGGAAUUAUUGGGCGUAAAGCGCGCGUAGGCGGUUUUUUAAGUCUGAUGUGAAAGCCCACGGCUCAACCGUGGAGGGUCAUUGGAAACUGGAAAACUUGAGUGCAGAAGAGGAAAGUGGAAUUCCAUGUGGAGCGGUGAAAUGCGCAGAGAUAUGGAGGAACACCAGUGGCGAAGGCGACUUUCUGGUCUGUAACUGACGAUGAUGUGCGAAAGCGUGGGGAUCAAACAGG